GGCAAGAAAGAGGAGCGCGGACAGAAAAAAAAAGCCUGGCAAGAAAAUCACGGCACCAUCCGAAAGGGGAAAAAGAGAGGCCAACGAAGAAGCUAGGGUUUCCUCCGGAUCCACCUCGCGAUGGACGCCGGCGACGCGUGGGGCCGCUCCUCCUCAUCCUCAGCCUCCGCCGCCGCCGCAGCGAGGCGCCUGCAGUCCCGCUACGAUCUGUACAUGGGGUUCGAUGACGCGGACGCCGGCGGCGGGGAGGACGUGGAGGCGCGCGGGGCGGAGGCCUACAACUGCCCCUUCUGCGGCGAGGACUUCGACUUCGUCGGCCUCUGCUGCCACAUCGACGACGAGCACGCCGUCGAGGCCAAGCGCGGGGUAUGCCCCAUCUGUGCUGGAAGGGUUGGGAUGGACUUGAUAGGCCACCUGACGGUGCAGCAUGCAAGUUACUUCAAGAUGCAGCGCAGACGCAGAGUCCGAAAAGUAUCUUCUGGGUCUCAUUCUUUGCUGUCUUUGCUGAGAAAAGAUUUAAGAGAUGGCAGUUUGCAAUCCUUUCUUGGUGGACCAUCCUAUGUAUCGAAUCCUCCCGCUGCUGCCCCAGAUCCAUUUUUGUCAUCUUUAAUUUGUAGUUUGCCUGUGGCUGAACCGUCGAAAGAUUUUCAUUCCGACUCUUCUGACAAAACAUUUUUGCUAAAUAAAUUCCGAGAUGAAAAGACUGUAGAGAGGUAUGUCACCUCAAGCUUUGUUCUUUCUGCCGCCUCACUCCACUCUCUUUUUACCACGAUACUAGUGUAUCUGGUCAGUGGAUGCUAGCUUUUCCGCAUUCUAUUUUUUUCCUGGUCCUUUUGCACACUACACCUUCUGCUUUCCAAGUAUGAAUAAUAAUUGCGAAGGCUUUCAUUUAUUUAUUAUUAUCCAUGGUACCAAUUAUAUAGUAGGUUGUCCUCCAUGGUUAUGUGGUUUACCUUUUUGACAGAUCACUUGCUCCCUUUUCUAUUUCUAAGAUGUGCUCUGUUUUGAUUACAUUCUUGAAUCUGUUUUGACUCAGUUGAUUUGGAAGCAAGUAGGUUUACUAAUCAUGUUUUUUUACCUAGGUUUGAUAGCUGAGACAUCUCUGUCAGAGAAGGAUCAGAAAGAGUUGGCUCAGAGGAGUGCAUUUACCCGUGAGCUUGUUCUCUCCACAAUAUUCGAUGAUGGUAGCUUGUAAGGGAAUCCACCUUUAUAGUGGUUGCAUGACAUGGUCAAGGGCUCGCAAAGCAAGAGAAUAUUAUUGGCAACGCUGCAACCUUGUUCAUGCUGCCGCUGCUGCUGCAAGGCCUUCACGACCAGGAUGAGGCCCAUCAAAUCAAGUUAUGUAUUGGUGUAUGUUUCUCUCUGCAUUGUGGAGAUUGCAACAUGAGAAUAGUGGAGGAAGUCUUGUAGCUCCACACAUGGAAUAAACGAGGACACUGUCCUUAUAGUGGCAUUGUGCAUAUAGGAAGAGGCUACCCGCCUACUUGCCAUGUAUUAGGCAUUCUGUUUCAUCAAUGUAAUAACAUGCUGUGUUGUAUACCCUUGUCAUCGUAUUCAUAUGUAUUUUGUCUGUGGUACAAUUGAGUAAAAGAGAUGAAUUUAUUUUUCUUGA